UCUGCUUGGNNUUGGGUGCCANCACUGUGGUGCAUCUCAAAGGUAUGGGCAGUGGCNUCAGCUUCUAGUGUAGUAAUUUUCUCGCUUUGGAGUAUGGGNGUCUGACUGCUAGAACCCCUAAUUUAUCAAAGGUUGACCUCGGAUCAGGUAGGGAUACCCGCUGAACUUAAGCAUAUCAAUAAGCGGAGGAAAAGAAACCAACAGGGAUUGCCUCAGUAACGGCGAGUGAAGCGGCAACAGCUCAAAUUUGAAAUCUGGCCUCACGGUCCGAGUUGUAAUUUGUAGAGGAUGCUUCGAGCAUGGUCCGGUCUAAGUUCCUUGGAACAGGACGUCAUAGAGGGUGAGAAUCCCGUAUGUGACUGGGUGCCUAAGCUCAUGUGAAGCUCCUUCGACGAGUCGAGUUGUUUGGGAAUGCAGCUCAAAAUGGGUGGUAAAUUUCAUCUAAAGCUAAAUACUGGCCAGAGACCGAUAGCGCACAAGUAGAGUGAUCGAAAGAUGAAAAGCACUUUGGAAAGAGAGUUAAACAGUACGUGAAAUUGUUGAAAGGGAAGCGCUUGCAACCAGACUUGCAUGCAGUCGAUCAUCUGAUGUUUUCACCGGUGCACUCGAUUGUAUUCAGGCCAGCAUCGGUUUUGGUGGUUGGAUAAAGGCCCUGGGAAUGUAGCUUCUUUAGGGGAGUGUUAUAGCCCUCGGUGCAACACAUCCUACUGGGACCGAGGACCGCGCUUCGGCUAGGAUGCUGGCGUAAUGGUUGUAAGCGAC
rnacentral:rRNA from 1 species